AUUGAACGCUGGCGGCAGGCCUAACACAUGCAAGUCGAGCGAGCGGCGGACGGGUGAGUAAUGUCUGGGAAACUGCCUGUUGGAGGGGGAUAACUACUGGAAACGGUAGCUAAUAACGCAUACCAUCAGAUGUGCCCAGAUGGGAUUAGCUAGUAGGUGGGGUAACGGCUCACCUAGGCGACGAUACCUAGCUGGUCUGAGAGGAUGACCAGCCAAACUGGAACUGAGACACUGUCCAGACUCCUAGGGGAGGCAGCGGUGGGGAAUAUUGCACAAUGGGCGCAAGCCUGAUGCAGCCAUGCCGCGUGUGUGAAGAAGGCCUUCGGGUUGUAAAGCACUUUCAGCGUGGAGGCGUUACCCGCAGAAGAAGCACCGGCUAACUCCGUGCCAGCAGCCGCGGUAAUUC
rnacentral:rRNA from 1 species